rnacentral:rRNA from 1 species
UGCGUAGGCGGAAUAUUAAGUCAGUGGUGAAAUCCUGCGGCUCAACCGUAGAACUGCCAUUGAUACUGAUAUUCUUGAAUAUAGUUGAGGUAGGCGGAAUGUGUAAUGUAGCGGUGAAAUGCUUAGAUAUUACACAGAACACCGAUUGCGAAGGCAGCUUACUAAGCUAUGAUUGACGCUGAGGUACGAAAGCGUGGGGAGCGAACAGGAUUAGAUACCCUGGUAGUC